CACACAGUUUAAGAGUGCAAUUAGGCUCGGGCUCCAGCAUGGCGACCGCGGCGCGUGUUGUGGGCCGGCUGCCCGCGCUGUGUAGCGGGACGGCAGGUCAUUUAUUGGGGAGGCAGCGUUCCCUAAGCACCUUACCAGCAGCUUCCAUUUUGGUGUGGAAGAGUGCUCUGAGCAAUGGCUGUUUGUCAUCACUGGGAACCAGAGACACCCAUCCCUACGCCAGCUUGAGCCACGCGCUGCAGACACAAUGCUGUGUUUCUUCUCCCAGUCACCUGAUGGGCCAGCAAUAUAGACCAUAUAGUUUCUUCACUAAAUUGACUGCAGAUGAGCUGUGGAAAGGCGCUUUAGCGGAGAGUGGUGCCGGAUCAAGAAAAGGAAGAGGCAAAAGAACUAAAAAGAGGAAAAGAAAGGAUCUGAACAGGGGUCAGAUCAUUGGGAAGGGCAUUACGGUUUUCUGUGGCCUGGUCUGAAUGUCCCUCUUAUGAAAAAUGGAGCAGUGCAGACCAUCGCCCAAAGAAGCAAGGAAGAGCAGAAGAAGAUGGAGGCCGACAUGAUCCAGCAGAGAGAAGAGUGGGACCGAAAGAGGAAGAUAAAGGUUAAACGCGAGCGAGGAUGGAGUGGAAACUCCUGGGGAGGCGUCAGUCUUGGCCCCCCUGACCCUGGCCCCAAUGGAGGUAAGAAAUGUUUUCAAUAUGACAGCGAAAGAGGGAAGAAAGAAAUGGGUCCGUGUCCUGGUGGCUGUGGGGAACGGAAAAGGAGCUGCAGGUUUUGCUAUUGGGAAAGCCACUGAUCGGAUGGACGCUUUCAGGAGAGCAAAGAACAGAGCAGUUCACUGUUUGCAUUAUAUAGAACGAUAUGAAGACCAUACAAUAUUCCAUGAUAUUUCAUUAAGAUUUAAAAGGACGCGUAUCAGGAUGAAGAAACAACCCAAAGGUUACGGCCUCCACUGCCACAGAGCCAUCAUCACCAUCUGCCGGCUCAUUGGCAUCAAAGACAUGUACGCCAAGGUCUCUGGGUCUGUUAAUAUGAUCAGCCUCACCCGGGGCCUCUUCCAUGGGCUCUCCAGACAGGAAACCCAUCAGCAGCUGGCUGAUAAGAAGGGUCUCCAUGUUGUGGAAAUCCGGGAGGAGUGUGGCCCUCUGCCCAUUGUGGUGGCCUCCCCCCGGGGGGCCCUGAGGAAGGAUCCGGAGCCAGAAGAGGAUGUUCCAGACAUCAAACUGGACUGGCAAGACGUGAAGGCCGCGCAGGGGAUGAAGCGCUCUGUGUGGGCUAAUUUGAAGAGAGCCGCCACGUAAGCUCUCUGGCCUUGUGCAGCCAGUUCCUGUACCUCGGAGAGACCAGGAGAGACUCAGCCCCUCACAGCUUGGGGCGUGGCCUUGGUUUUUGUUUGUUUUGAGGAAAGUUUAAUCUGUAAACUCUUCAGAAA